CCAAUACUGGCCCCCUCUCUCCUGAAAACCCCAAUCACCCUCUUAGCCUCUUCCAUGCCCAGCCCUCCGUCUCCCCGCCUGGUGGCCUUCCAUUCCACCCCUCUGCCGGAUUUUUCCCUCCCCCUCCCAGAUCUCGCUCGCUUGCUCUCCUUGUUGCCUCUCCCUUCCCCCCUCCGCUCGACAUCACUUGCAUGGAGCCGCUUAUGGAAGCAGUGAGGAGUGGCGGUAGGGCAAGGAGCGGUGGUGGCCCGUGGGGACGGAGGCGGAGGAGCACGGCGUGCGCUGGAUCUAGUGGUAGUGGCUUUUCUUCGGCGUGAAUCAGAAGAUGGAGCUGCCAGGUGGUGGGUUGUCAACUCGUCACUGAAAACCUUGGAGCAGAUGAGUUCAAAGAGCGUGCAGCAGUGGAAGGGCCUGCAUGUUAUUGAUGAAUGAUGAAGCCGAGUGUCGUCGAUUGGCAGGUGCGGUCGUACGUGUGGCUCAGACCCAAGACGGAGUAAUGAGAUGGUGAGGUCAGGGUCCCAGCUUGACGGGCGCGACACACGAGGUCAACCGAAGUGAAGAGCAAGCGUGAGGUCGUAAGUAAUUCUCAAACAGGCAGCCGGCUGUUGGCUGGUCAGUUGGCUGGUCAGUUCAGACUUUCGGAAUUAAGCUAUUGGAUAAGCUUUGCAGAAUAUGGCCGUUGUAAAGGAUAAAAAAAAGGGACCAAUUGUUCAAUGCGCUUGCACGUUUGAUUCCUUUGCUUA